rnacentral:rRNA from 1 species
UGCCAGCCGCCGCGGUAAGACAGAGGGUGCAAGCGUUAAUCGGAAUAACUGGGCGUAAAGAGCACGUAGGCGGUUUAUUAAGUCAGAUGUGAAAGACCAGGGCUCAACCUUGGGGUGUCAUUUGAAACUGGUAAACUAGAGAACAGUAGAGGAAAGUGGAAUUUCCGGUGUAGCGGUGAAGUGCGUAGAGAUCUGAAGGAACAUCAGUGGCGAAGGCGACCUCCUGGACUGAUAUUGACGCUGAGGUGCGAAAGCGUGGGGAGCAAACAGGAUUAGAUA